rnacentral:snRNA from 9 species
AUACUUACCUGGCGUAGGAUUACCGUGAUUACGCAGGCGGUUCCCCCAGGGUGAGGCACUCAAUUGCACUGCGCAGUGGUUGCCCUUACGAUUAUAUUUAUUAUUUAUAAGAUUCACUUCUACCGAGUGUGACUUGUGCACACACACAUU